AACGUAGGUGGCGAGCGUUAUCCGGAUUUACUGGGCGUAAAGGGUGUGCAGGCUGCCCGUCAAGUGGUGUAUGAAGGUGCCCGGCUCAACCGGGCUUGGUUAUGCCAGACUGACGGGCUAGAGAGCGAGAGCGGGACGUGGAAUUCCGGGUGUAGUGGUGAAAUGCGUAGAGAUCCGGAGGAACCCCAGAGGCGAAGGCGGCGUCCUGGCUCGCAUCUGACGCUCAGACACGACAGCAUGGGGAGCGAACAGG
rnacentral:rRNA from 1 species